GGUUGCGAUAAUACCAGCACUAAUGCACCGGAUCCCAUCAGAACUCCGUAGUUAAGCGUGCUUGGGCAAGAGUAGUACUCGGAUGGGUGACCCCCUGGGAAGUCCUCGUGUUGCAACCCC
rnacentral:rRNA from 1 species